UGGGGAAUUUUCCGCAAUGGGCGAAAGCCUGACGGAGCAACGCCGCGUGGGUGAUGAAGUUCUUCGGAACGUAAAGCCCUUUCGCAGGGGAAGAAACAAAUGACGGUACCCUGAGAAGAAGCAUCGGCUAACUACGUGCCAGCAGCCGCGGUAAGACGUAGGAUGCAAGCGUUGUCCGGAAUUACUGGGCGUAAAGCGAGCGUAGGCGGUUAGGUCAGUUCGAGGUUAAAGAUCACAGCUCAACUGUGGGAAUGCCCCGAAUACUGCUUAACUGGAGAACGGUAGAGGAAAGUGGAAUUCCCAGUGUAGCGGUGAAAUGCGUAGAUAUUGGGAGGAACACCAGAGGCGAAAGCGGCUUUCUGGACCGUUUCUGACGCUGAGGCUCGAAAGCCAGGGGAGCAAACGGG
rnacentral:rRNA from 1 species